ACAGAACCGAUCUCCCGCAGUGUAAGUUGCAUCAGUAAACAGUGACUACCAUCAUCAUCAUCAUCUGUUACCCAUACACAAAUCAAGUUUGUCCUUCAGUUACAGUGGGAGGCUGUAGCUCUGGAGGAAGAGCAGUCGUCUUCCAACCAGAAGAUCUUCGCCCGCUGUCUUUGGACCAGUUCACCGAUUACAAACAGCUUUUUUUGACUGCUUCUAACUGCAUGGUCAGUAGAAAUGAAGAAAUACGGGAUUACCCAGACCACUCAGAUGUUUGUCAUCUGGGGUCAGGUGGUGCGUCAGGAGGGCCUACAGAGCUGCAGCUACUGGGAGACAGAGUGGGAUGGCCAGGAGAUGAGAAUAUUGGAA